GUACACGAGCGGCGAACGGGUGAGUAACACGUGGGUGAUCUGCCUUGCACUCUGGGAUAAGCCUGGGAAACUGGGUCUAAUACCGGAUAUGACCUUCGGUUGCAUGACCGGGGGUGGAAAGAUUUAUCGGUGCAAGAUGAGCCCGCGGCCUAUCAGCUUGUUGGUGGGGUAAUGGCCUACCAAGGCGACGACGGGUAGCCGGCCUGAGAGGGCGACCGGCCACACUGGGACUGAGACACGGCCCAGACUCCUACGGGAGGCAGCAGUGGGGAAUAUUGCACAAUGGGCGGAAGCCUGAUGCAGCGACGCCGCGUGAGGGAUGACGGCCUUCGGGUUGUAAACCUCUUUCGACUCCGACGAAGCGAGAGUGACGGUAGGAGUAUAAGAAGCACCGGCCAACUACGUGCCAGCAGCCGCGGUAAUACGUAGGGUGCGAGCGUUGUCCGGAAUUACUGGGCGUAAAGAGCUUGUAGGCGGUCUGUCGCGUCAUCUGUGAAAACUUGGGGCUCAACCUUAAGCUUGCAGGCGAUACGGGCAGACUAGAGUACUUCAGGGGAGACUGGAAUUCCUGGUGUAGCGGUG
rnacentral:rRNA from 1 species